rnacentral:rRNA from 1 species
GAUCCUGGCUUAGGAUGAACGCUAGCUACAGGCUUAACACAUGCAAGUCGAGGGGCAGCAUUGGAGUAGCAAUACUCAGAUGGCGACCGGCGCACGGGUGAGUAACACGUAUCCAACCUGCCGCUUACUCGGGGAUAGCCUUUCGAAAGAAAGAUUAAUACCCGAUGGUAUAAAGAGUUCGCAUGUUCUCUUUAUUAAAGAAUUUCGGUAAGCGAUGGGGAUGCGUUCCAUUAGAUAGUUGGCGGGGUAACGGCCCACCAAGUCUACGAUGGAUAGGGGUUCUGAGAGGAAGGUCCCCCACAUUGGAACUGAGACACGGUCCAAACUCCUACGGGAGGCAGCAGUGAGGAAUAUUGGUCAAUGGACGAGAGUCUGAACCAGCCAAAGUAGCGUGAAGGAUGACUGCCCUAUGGGUUGUAAACUUCUUUUAUAAGGGAAUAAAGUGAGGGACGUGUCCCUUUUUGUAUGUACCUUAUGAAUAAGGAUCGGCUAACUCCGUGCCAGCCGCCGC